GUGGCAAGCGUUAUCCGGAUUUAUUGGGCGUAAAGGAUGCGUAGGCGGCUAAACAAGGUAUAUGUUAAAUAUAUAGGCUUAACCUGUAGAAAGCAUAUAAAACUGUUUAACUAGAGUGCAGGAGAGGUAAGUGGAAUUCCUAGUGUAGCGGUGAAAUGCGUAGAGAUUAGGAAGAACACCAGUGGCGAAGGCGACUUACUGGACUGUAACUGACGCUGAGGCAUGAGAGCAUGGGGAGCAAAC
rnacentral:rRNA from 1 species